GCGUGGUUGGUUUAGUGGUCAACACAUUGGCUCAGUAAUGGCACUUCGAUUACUUGGAUGUUCAUGUCAGUCCCCUUCGGGGCACUGCCAGUCUGACUGUCAGAGGCCCCGGGUUCGAAUCCCGUACCGCGCA
rnacentral:tRNA from 2 species